GGAGCCGUAGCGAAAGCGAGUCUGAACAGGGCGUUUUAGUUCGUUGGAUUAGACCCGAAACCGAGUGAUCUAGCCAUGGCCAGGUUGAAGGUGCGGUAACACGCACUGGAGGACCGAACCCACGCCUGUUGAAAAAGUCGGGGAUGAGCUGUGGCUAGGGGUGAAAGGCCAAUCAAACUCGGAAAUAGCUGGUUCUCCGCGAAAUCUAUUUAGGUAGAGCGUCAUUGGAUUACCAUCGGGGGUAG
rnacentral:rRNA from 1 species